UAGUUUUUUUGAAAAAUUCUGGGCUCUCUCUCUCUCUCUCGUCUCUCUCCUUUCGCAAAAACCAGGUCGGCCAGUUUUGGCCGACGAUCUUGGUGCUCCGGCCACGGCUAGAUGCGUGACUGGUCGGAAAAUGACUAGAGGAGGCCAGCAAACCAUGCUUGAGCCCAGCCUCAUUUCGCCGUCGCGAGCUCCAAGAACCUUCGAGGGUUUCGAGUUUUUCGACACCUUUUUCGACUAUUCCGGCGGCCGUUGUUGCCGAUCCAAAUGUAUUUCCUUUUGCUUUUGCAAUUGUUUUUGGUGAAAUUAUGGACAAUUGGAGGUGGUUUCUGCAAAGGAUAUCGGAUGUCUUGUUGGGCUAUUUUGGAUUCUUUUUUCUUUUUUCUUUUUUUGGAUUUUUUUGUAAGAAAUGAUAUUAACAAUGUAAUUCUAUGACAUGGUAAUAACAAUGUACUUCUAUGA